rnacentral:lncRNA from 1 species
GGGACGGCCAACAGACAGAAACUGCUGCGGAAGCUCCCAAACGUUCUCCAAGCUCCAACCCCUUUCACUCCCUACCUCCUGGCCACAUGACACCCGCUCCCUCUUCCCACCAGCCAAGGAUCUCGGAGGAUCCGUUCCUGGGUUGCCCACCAGGUCACCCAUCCCAUGCCUGACUGCUUCCCUGGCAGCCUCGCUCCCACUUCUCUCGCUAAAUUCAGACUACUCCUGUGAAACCUCCUGGCACCUUCGCUAAAUAAAACUAAUUCCGAGGUCACCUUCGGAAGCUGAGUGGCAUCUUUGUUUUAUAAAGACACCCCCCGUCCCGUCAGGCUGGGACGCACACUGGGGCCGAUGGGGCUGUCCCCAGGGGACACUCACGGUGCCCUCUGGCCUUGCUUUGCAGCAGCAACCAAGAGCCAGCAGUGGUGCGCGUGACUUGGGGGACGGGACACCCCCGUGUCCCAUAUCCCCCAGCGUCUCUUGGUCCCAUCAGGACCCCACCGCCCCUCCUGAUCCCGCUGCCCUACAGGUCCUCAGCACGGACCCCUCCCAGCCCAAGUGCACCAACGGUGAGUGCCAGCCCUUGGGAACACCGCCGCCGUCCCCAUCGGACGGUGCCGCCGUUCCUUUUGGGUCCUUGUCCUCGCUGCUGGCCGCUUGCGAUGUCGCCAGCCGCACACAGCCUCUGUCCCAGACAGGACCUGCUGCCAUCAGUGUUGUCCUCAGGUGCCAUCUGACCACCCUGGUACCUAUUCCCAGCAUCACUCCCCCCAUGCAGUGGCCCCGCGUGCCCCACCCAAUCCCACCGGUGCUACUGCCACGAUCCCCGUCCUCACCCAGUCCCACUGCUGCCACUGAGGGGCGGGGGGCUGGCUCUCCACAUCUGAGUGAUAGGAGGAUGGAAUCACUGCAAGGUUGGCACUGAAAGGACCUUACAGAUCACAGAACACGUAAUGCACAAACAAACGGCUUGCAUGGGAUAGAUAGCAUCAGAAACCAUAAAAUCAAAUUGUGGUGGUGGUGGAAGGAACCUCACAGCCCGCCCAGCCCCACUCCUGCCACGCGCUGCCUGCCCCUCUCUCUCCGGCUGCGUAAGUCCCCCCCCACGGCUUUGGGCACCUCCGUGAAUGGGGCACCCAUGGUGGAAUCGGGCAGAAACACAGGCCUUAAUUCCCUGCCCGACCAAGGGGCUCUCAGGGUCAGUGACAAGGUGGUUGGGAUGGCUGUGGCACUGAGGUGUCAGCACGGAGGAGCUCUGUCACCCGGCUGGGACUGAGCAGUGUGGGCUGCAGUUCAGCUCAGGUGCCCUCCUGAGCGGAUUCACCCACUUCCAGCACGCUCAACCCCGCGUCGGACCUUUGGCUUCACGGCUUGAGCAAUAUGCCGGGGCUGAGGGGAGACCGCUGAGGGGGCA